rnacentral:rRNA from 1 species
GACGUAGGGCGCAAGCGUUGUCCGGAUUUAUUGGGCGUAAAGAGCUCGUAGGCGGCUUGUUGCGUCGUCCGUGAAAACCCGAGGCUCAACCUCGGGCCUGCAGUCGAUACGGGCAAACUAGAGUACUGCAGGGGAGACUGGAAUUCCUGGUGUAGCGGUGAAAUGCGCAGAUAUCAGGAGGAACACCGGUGGCGAAGGCGGGUCUCUGGGCAGUAACUGACGCUGAGGAGCGAAAGCGUGGGGAGCGAACAGG